rnacentral:rRNA from 1 species
GUAGGUGGCAAGCGUUGUCCGGAAUUAUUGGGCGUAAAGCGCGCGCAGGUGGUCGUUUAAGUCUGAUGUGAAAGACCCCCGGGCUCGAACCGGGGAGGGUCAUUGGAAACUGGGGAACUUGAGUGCAGGAGAGGAAAGUGGAAUUCCACGUGUAGCGGUGAAAUGCGUAGAUAUGUGGAGGAACACCAGUGGCGAAGGCGACUUUCUGGCCUGUAACUGACACUGAGGCGCGAAAGCGUGGGGAGCAAACAGGAUUAGAUACCCUGGUAGUCCACGCCGUAAACGAUGAGUGCUAAGUGUUGGGGGGGUUUCCGCCCCUCAGUGCUGCAGCUAACGCAUUAAGCACUCCGCCUGGGGAGUACGGUCGCAAAGACUG